ACAGGGGUAGGAUAUAUUUUGUAAAUGGCCAAUGGAACGGAAUGUGAACGUUGGCAGAACCUUAACGGGCGAUUUAUAUCCGCAUUCACCAAA
rnacentral:ncRNA from 2 species